rnacentral:rRNA from 1 species
UACAGAGGUCUCAAGCGUUGUUCGGAUUCAUUGGGCGUAAAGGGCGCGUAGGCGGCGCGGUAAGUCGGGUGUGAAAUCUUGGAGCUUAACUCCGAAACUGCAUUCGAUACUGCCGUGCUUGAGGACUGGAGAGGAGACUGGAAUUUACGGUGUAGCGGUGAAAUGCGUAGAUAUCGUAAGGAAGACCAGUGGCGAAGGCGGGUCUCUGGACAGUUCCUGACGCUGAAGCACGAAGGCCAGGGGAGCAAACGGG